rnacentral:rRNA from 1 species
GACGAACGCUGGCGGCGUGCCUAAUACAUGCAAGUCGAACGAGAGCGACCGGUGCUUGCACUGGUCAAUCUAGUGGUGAACGGGUGAGUAACACGUGGGUAACCUGCCCAUCAGAGGGGGAUAACAUCCGGAAACGGAUGCUAAAACCGCAUAGGUCUUCGAGCCGCAUGGCUUGAAGAGGGGAAGAGGCGCAAGCUUCUGCUGAUGGAUGGACCCGCGGUGCAUUAGCUAGUUGGUGAGGUAACGGCUCACCAAGGCCGUGAUGCAUAGCCGACCUGAGAGGGUGAUCGGCCACAUUGGGACUGAGACACGGCCCAAACUCCUACGGGAGGCAGCAGUAGGGAAUCUUCCGCAAUGGACGCAAGUCUGACGGAGCAACGCCGCGUGAGUGAAGAAGGUUUUCGGAUCGUAAAACUCUGUUGUUAGAGAAGAACAAGUGCUAGAGUAACUGUUAGCGCCUUGACGGUAUCUAACCAGAAAGCCACGGCUAACUACGUG